rnacentral:rRNA from 1 species
AUACGGAGGAUCCGAGCGUUAUCCGGAUUUAUUGGGUUUAAAGGGUGCGCAGGCGGCCAUUUAAGUCAGCGGUUAAAUCGUGGGGCUCAACCCCAUUCUGCCGUUGAUACUGGGUGGCUUGAUUGCGGUCGAGGUUGGCGGAAUUCGUUGUGUAGCGGUGCAAUGCAUAGAUAUGACGAAGAACACCGAUUGCGUAGGCAGCUGACCAGACCGCAAAUGACGCUCAUGCACGAAAGUGCGGGGAUCGAACAGGAUUAGAUACCCUGGUAGUCCGCACAGUAAACGAUGAAUACUUGUUUUCGGCGAUAUAAUGUCGGAGGCAAAGCGAAAGCGAUAAGUAUUCCACCUGGGGAGUACGCCGGCAACGGUGAAACUCAAAUGAAUUGGCGGGG